CCUAAUGCAGUAGUUCUUUUAGUGUAUACACCACUAAAAGCAGCAACAUAUGCUCAUUCAUUGAAAGCUGUGGAGCUACUUAUUAAGGCUGGUGCUGAUGUCAAUGCUGGUCAACCUGUAACUCCGCUGAUGGUAGCGGCACUUGCUGGCUAUACUGAGUGCAUCAAGUGUUUGUUGAAAGCUGGUGCUGAUGCCAAUAUACCUGAUGAUAAAGGUACACUGCCGGUAGAAAUUGCUGCAAUCCAAGGAUGGCAGGAAUGUGUUGAGAUUCUUUUCCCUGUCACGGCACCUUUGACUAGAGUUGCAGACUGGAGCAUUGAUGGAAUAACUCAACAUGCAAAAAUUAUAAGAUC